rnacentral:ncRNA from 2 species
UCUUUAUCCAGAGUGGUGGAGGGAGAAGGCCCUGUGAAACCACGGCAACCGGCCGGCUGAAGCUUAAACAAAAGCGGGCGCUUGGUGCCAAUUCCUGCCCUGCCGGACAGCUUGUCCGGGGGGACAGAUGGAGA